GAUGAACGCUGGCGGCGUGCCUAAUACAUGCAAGUCGAGCGAACAGACGAGGAGCUUGCUCCUCUGAUGUUAGCGGCGGACGGGUGAGUAACACGUGGAUAACCUACCUAUAAGACUGGGAUAACUUCGGGAAACCGGAGCUAAUACCGGAUAACAUGUUGAACCGCAUGGUUCAACAGUGAAAGACGGUCUUGCUGUCACUUAUAGAUGGAUCCGCGCCGCAUUAGCUAGUUGGUAAGGUAACGGCUUACCAAGGCAACGAUGCGUAGCCGACCUGAGAGGGUGAUCGGCCACACUGGAACUGAGACACGGUCCAGACUCCUACGGGAGGCAGCAGUAGGGAAUCUUCCGCAAUGGGCGAAAGCCUGACGGAGCAACGCCGCGUGAGUGAAGAAGGUCUUCGGAUCGUAAAACUCUGUUAUUAGGGAAGAACAAAUCUGUAAGUAACUAUGCACGUCUUGACGGUACCUAAUCAGAAAGCCACGGCUAACUACGUG
rnacentral:rRNA from 1 species